AAUAAUGUUUUUUCUGAAAUAAUUUCUUAUUAGGAAUUAUACUUACACGUUACACGACUAGUUUUGCACUUCUUCAGUAUGGCACUAGUGCAGUACGUGUACAUGUUACAACUACUAAAAUUGUAACUACUGAACGUCUGACCUACUAGUGAGUAGUGACUAUAUAGAUGCUAGUAGCUAUAUAGUGUCGCUAGUGGCGACUGCGGAGUGCGGCUUAAUCGUUUAAUGCUUAUCUUAAUUCUUAACCAUUUGAACAACGUGCAUCGUGCGCAAAAGAAAACAAAUUUUUUUGAUUAUAUAUAUUGUGCUCACGUUAGUUGUAAAUUUGUAAUUGUUUAAUUAAAUCAAUUAAAGCCUGAAAUUUAUUUUCCGUUGUGUUGAAUGUGUCAAUGAAUACUAUAUAUUGAGAAUUUUAUAUUGUGAGUUCUAUCUAUAUUGGCUACAUUACUGUUUAACGCCUAGAUGGUCUAAAAGCCAAAAGUAUUUACCAUUUGCGGCGGUGAUGUGAUUAUUUUUCUCCUGUGAAUACUGAAUGGACAGUUGACAUAUUAUAAAGAGUGAGUACAAAGUUAUGGAAUCCA